GAGAGCCAGCCGUGUGCAAAUCGUCAGAUAUACAACCUCCAGAAAAGUUUCGGUCGGUCGAGAAAGAGGCAAGAGAGGCGAGCAAAAUGUUACAAUGUUUGGUGGGGUGGCUGGGGGCCUCUUGCGCUCGGCCGGCCUAUCUCGCCGAGAAGAAGCACAAGAUGAGUCAUUGCGACGAACAGCUGCCCACUGUGCUG
ensembl:ncRNA F01G12.13 ncRNA